rfam:Trachymyrmex septentrionalis contig24165, whole genome shotgun sequence.
UAAUCGGCCCUUUUCAGGGCCAACAAUUUUUCAAACGAAUAUUUCU